CCUACGGGAGACAGCAGUGAGGAAUAUUGGUCAAUGGACGAGAGUCUGAACCAGCCAAUUAGCGUGAAGGAUGACUGCCCUAUGGGUUGUAAACUUCUUUUAUAAAGGAAUAAAACGAGGCACGUGUGCCUUUUUGCAUGUACUUUAUGAAUAAGGAUCGGCUAACUCCUUGCCAGCAGCCGCGGUAAUACGGCGGAUCCGAGCGUUAUCCGGAUUUAUUGGGUUUAAAGGGAGCGUAGAUGGGUUGUUAAGUCAGUUGUGAAAGUUUGCGGCUCAACCGUAAAAUUGCAAUUGAUACUGGCAGUCGUGAGUACAGUUGAGGUAGGCGGAAUUCGUGGUGUAGCGGUGAAAUGCUUAGAUAUCACGAAGAACCCCGAUUGCGAAGGCAGCUUACUAAACUGUGACUGACAUUGAUGCUCGAAAGUGUGGGUAUCAAACAGGAUUAGAUACCCUUGUAGUC
rnacentral:rRNA from 1 species